ACUUUCUUCUUUUGGUUCCCGUGGUUAAUGAUGAUGAGGGCGAC
rnacentral:sRNA from 1 species